AUGGGACCUGGACGAACAGUCCGGCCACCAAGAAAUGCCCCGCAAUCUCAAGGUCAACAUUCUGGGAGUACCUCAGCAUCAAAAUCCAGGAAGGUACGUGGGAUAAAUAAGGGAAAGGGCUUGGAGCGUUUGAUCAAAAGGGCAGGUCAUCCACUAAACUUGACCAUCUCCGAAGAGAGAAGACCUAUUGGAGAAAAUAAUGAAUUACUUUCCAGAGAGAUUGGACUUCUUACACGGUACCAUGCACCUAUCCAACGUGCCGGGUGGCAUAGUCUGACUGAGGAUGAUAAGGAGCCGUUGUAUGAACUUCUAAAGCUUAAGUUCAAUCUUGAUUUCACCCAAGAUCAUAUCAAAGGCUGUGUGGAUCUGCUAUUCUCUUCAAGCUACAAAAGUUUCCGUCACAAGUGUUAUGAACAUUAUGUAAAAUCUGGUGAUGAUGCUAGAAGCAAUCCAUAUCCUCCCCUUAUUGAUAAUAGAGUUGGAGACUGGAUUUGGCUCUGUGAUCAUUUUGAAACAGAAGAAUUUAAGAAACGGUCCACAAUUGGGAAGGCUAACCGCUCAAACCUACCUUAUGUUCACAAGAAGGGAACAAAGUCAUUUGUAGCGGUUCAACAUGAAUUAAAUUGUGGCGAUAUCAGACUAUACAAGGAGUGUUACUCUAGUGAUAAGAAGGGAUGGGCAUCAGAAGAUGCCAGGAAUAAACAUGAAGAAAUGUUGCAGAAGCAAAAGGAACCUAUAGAGGAGGGUGAAGUACCUUUAACAGAGCAACAGAUUUGCGAGCAUGUGCUAGGUAAGGCAUAUGGUUACGUCAGAGGUCGGGGUCAUGGACCAAAACCAAAUAGAAGGGCUUACUCAAGCGCAUCAAGCUCAACUCAGCAUGUAGUGGAAGAAUUGGCCUCUACAAAGGAGAUUGUUGCUACGCAGCAAACUCAAAUUGAGGCUCAACAAUCUCAACUUGAAGCUCAACAGAAGAAGAUCGAUUGGCUACAAAGUGUCGUGUCUAACUUGGUUGGCAUUUCACCUCCUAUGGACGGCACUAGUGCAACAGGGCUAGGUUUCACAACUGAGCGGCCAAUGCCAUCUGACGGAAUAGGUUCGCUGAUAUCUAACACUGUAGAAAGGAUGUCAAGUUUUCCAAGAUCAUUUGCAAGUCAUUUGAGGCCAGGAUAUAGACCUGCUCCAACUUCUUCUUCUGAUGGCAAUGGCUCUCUGGUGUCGGAUGGAGGGUCCAGGUAUUCAUGA
rnacentral:rRNA from 1 species